AACGAACGCUGGCGGCAUGCCUAACACAUGCAAGUCGAACGAUGCCUUCGGGCAUCGUGGCGCACGGGUGCGUAACGCGUGGGAAUCUGCCUUUCGGUUCGGAAUAACUCAGGGAAACUUGAGCUAAUACCGGAUAACGUCGCAAGACCAAAGAUUUAUCACCGAAAGAUGAGCCCGCGUAGGAUUAGCUAGUUGGUGAGGUAAAGGCUCACCAAGGCGACGAUCCUUAGCUGGUCUGAGAGGAUGAUCAGCCACACUGGGACUGAGACACGGCCCAGACUCCUACGGGAGGCAGCAGUGGGGAAUAUUGGACAAUGGGCGAAAGCCUGAUCCAGCAAUGCCGCGUGAGUGAUGAAGGCCUUAGGGUUGUAAAGCUCUUUUACCCGGGAAGAUAAUGACGGUACCGGGAGAAUAAGCCCCGGCUAACUCCGUG
rnacentral:rRNA from 1 species